rnacentral:rRNA from 1 species
GAUGAACGCUGGCGGCGUGCCUAAUACAUGCAAGUCGAGCGAACAGACGAGGAGCUUGCUCCUCUGACGUUAGCGGCGGACGGGUGAGUAACACGUGGUCAACCUACCUCUAAGACUGGGAUAACUUUGGGAAACCGGAGCUAAUACCCGAUAAUAUAUUGCAUCUCAUUGUUCACUAGUGAAAGUAGGUUUUUCUGUCACUUAUAGAUGGAUCCGCAGCGCAUUAGCUAGUUGGUAAGGUAAAGGCUUACCAAAGCGACGAUGCGUACACGGCCUGAGAGGGUGAUCGGCCACACUGGAACUGAGGAACAGUCCAGACUCCUACAGUAGGCAGCAGUAGGGAAUCCUCCGGAAUGGACGAGAGCCUGACAGAGCAACGUCGCGUGAGUGAUGAAGGUCUUCGGAUCGGAGAACUCUGUUGUUAGGGAAGAUCAAAUGUGUAUGUAACUAGGCACGUCUUGACGGUACCGAAUCAGAAAGCCACGGCUAACUACGUG